CGCGCGAAAAGUUUCUUUCUUUAAACAUAAAUAUGCGUGUGUCAAGUGCAGAGGACGAUGACAUGAGCCUUCCCUCUGCGGUCCCACGGGCCAGACAACCACCCCGGGCCGACUCGGGGCUGUGCCCGGCUCGGGGCUGUGCCCGGCCCGGGGCAGGUCGAUAAUGGCAGCAAAACGCGGUUACCUGAGGCAGAAGGUACGACUUGAAGCGACAGCAGAUUCUCUUGAUGAUGAUGUAGAUGUGGCUGAAGAUGAUCAUGGGUGGAGGCAGGACAGGCCUGUCGUGGAAUGUCAUGAUCAGCUGGUACCGCUGGAACUUCCACACUUGGUUGGAUAUUGAUUUUACCUCAAAGAAGCAGGAUCCCAGCCCCCUGCACCACGCUGGCACGGCAGGAGUUAACAGCAUGACCUACUUCCCAAACUGCUGAUUCCUUGGUCCUUCAGCCAAUAAUAGCUCCCAUUGUGAGAUCCUUCCCUUCUCCCCCAGCUAAGUGACUGGCAUUCCAGUCCUUUGAAAUUCGUGACCUUUUAAGCUCCAUACAUCCAAUGAAAGACAGGCUUUGUGCUUGUGACACCAGCUUCCUAUGCCAACAGGCAAAAAUGGAUCA